GUUACUUUCACUUUCAUUUUAGCGUGAUUUUUGGGUGGAGUGUGUCAAUUAAUGGCGGAAGGGAGUUAUAUUUAAAGGGAGCGUCUAGUACCUGAAUCAAAGGCGUCAUCCAUUUGUUUGCACAUGAGGGUAGCCCGUAUGAGUGAUGGUUAUGGUGGAAAGACGGCUGCGUGUCAAUCAGCUGUUUCAUGGGUAUGAUGUCUGGUGCGUGACUGAAGCAUUGCACUUCCAGACCAACUGUCAUGAGCGGUCCUGAAGACAAGGAAAAAACCGCUUAUCCACCUAUCUUGGUGUCUGGUGACCUGUGAUACUCAUUGGUGCCUUCAAUACCUGCAAACGUGCGUGACGCGGUCGGUUUCUGGCACGGGCACGGAUUCCGAAGAGAGACCGCUAGUGGGAACGUGUGGUCAUUUCUUAUUUUGUUUUUAUUUUUAUUUAUUUUUUGUCCAUUUAGUUUUCUGUGUUAUUAUGAUUUUGAACAUAUGAAAGAAUAAAUAUCCUAAUGACCUUUAGUCUGGGAUUAUUAUAAUUUGUUGUGUAACAGGUGGUUAUUUUUCUGCUAUCCUGGGUUAAGUUAAUUUUUGACAGGUUUAAUCCUGUCUGGCGCCCAAAGGUUUUUUUCUUUAAAAUAGUUAUUUAAGUUAGGGCAGCGACCACCGUUAUAGAGUGGCGCCCGAACAGGGACCUGAACUGAAACCUGCUUGAACACUUGAAACUUGAACUUUUGAUUUUGACAAUCCCUGUGAACUAUUGAACACUUGAA